UCUGGGUUGUAAACUUCUUUUAUCAGGGAGAAACCCUUGGAUUCACUCCGAGGCUGACGGUACCUGAAGAAUAAGCACCGGCUAACUCCGUGCCAGCAGCCGCGGUAAUACGGAGGGUGCAAGCGUUAUCCGGAUUUACUGGGUUUAAAGGGUGCGUAGGCGGAUUUGUAAGUCAGUGGUGAAAGCCUGGAGCUUAACUCCGGAAUUGCCAUUGAUACUGCUUAUCUUGAGUACAGUUGAGGUGGGCGGAAUGUGUCAUGUAGUGGUGAAAUGCUUAGAUAUGACACAGAACACCGAUUGCGAAGGCAGCUCGCUAAACUGUAACUGACGCUGAGGCACGAAAGCGUGGGGAUCGAACAGGAUUAGAUACCCUGGUAGUCCACGCCCUAAACGAUGAUCACUCGACAUUGGCGAUAUACUGUCAGUGUCCAAGCGAAAGCGUUAAGUGAUCCACCUGGGGAGUACGACCGCAAGGUUG
rnacentral:rRNA from 1 species